rnacentral:lncRNA from 1 species
GUGGUAAUGAUAGUGUAUCAAGAAACUACAAAGAACUCAAUGGGUACCGUGUGCCUUUAGCCACAUUCUUUCCUUAUGAAAGUCAUCUCUUAAGAUCUACAUGAACUCCAUUAGGCCAUGAGAAAAAUUACUGCACCAAUUCUAUUACUGUCAAAAAACUUAGCUGCUUAAAGCUGAGUUUGUGGAUGGUGAAAUUGCUACUUGGAUGUUGUACUGUUUUCAGUUAUUUUAUAAACCCAUUGAUGCUUAAUCAACCAGAGCAAUCUGCACGUAUUUGGGCAACAAUAAUGGUGCAACUUUCUAAUUCAAAACAGCUGGAAUCAUAAAAUGUAAAGUAUAGAAGCAGCUAUUUUGCUGUCUGGUUAUUGCUAUUGAGACCAGGUGGUUCAAUCAAAGGCAGGAGGAAAGGGCUUAGAAGUCUCCUUCUUUUCCAGAAUUUCCCAGCUCUAAUUCAUUUCUGGGAUAAGGUGUUUGUUUCCAAAAAGCUCCAUUUAAAAUGUACCCAAAUUCUUGAGCUGAAGUAAACUUACACUUUAAACUAUGAGCCACAGAACUCCUGGGCUUCCACCUCUGGAGGAGUGGCCACAGGUCAAAAGGAACACAGAAAGGUGAAUGUGGAGGGAAGGUGCAGUGACACAGUAAGUAGUGGUGGGGAAGAGAGCGUUGGGAAAGGAUUUUGAUGUGAGGGCCAGGCAUCCUGGGUGGGUAGGCGUGACUGAGGCAGCUUAGGGCAGCCUGGGAGCCUCAAAUACCCUUUGAUGGGAUCUAAGGGUAUUAAAGUGUUAGCUUUCAUGGUUUUGUGGAGGACUGACCUGGCUACAGCACUUCAUCUGUGGGCCCCAUUGAGGUGCGGAAGAAGGAAAGGAGCUGUUCCAGCUGCUAUAGCUGACUAAAAAACGUCCUAAAAUGCACUGGCUUAGAACAAUGACAUUUAUUUAACUCGUGGAUCUACAGGUGGAGCAAGACACAGGUGCUAUUGUAACUCAUGCAAAUGCUGAUCAACUGUCAC